rnacentral:rRNA from 1 species
UAGGGAAUCUUCCGCAAUGGACGAAAGUCUGACGGAGCAACGCCGCGUGAGUGCAGAAGGCCUUCGGGUUGUAAAGCUCUGUUGCCAGGGACGAAGAGCAUCCAGAGGGAAUGAUGGAUGUGUGACGGUACCUGAGAAGAAAGCCCCGGCUAACUACGUGCCAGCAGCCGCGGUAAUACGUAGGGGGCAAGCGUUGUCCGGAAUUAUUGGGCGUAAAGCGCGCGCAGGCGGUGACCUAAGUCCGGCGUGAAAAGGAAGGGCUCAACCCUUUCUGGCGUCGGAAACUGGGUGACUGGAGUGCAGAAGAGGAGAGUGGAAUUCCACGUGUAGCGGUGAAAUGCGUAGAGAUGUGGAGGAACACCAGUGGCGAAGGCGACUCUCUGGUCUGUAACUGACGCUG